AUUGAACGCUGGCGGCAGGCCUAACACAUGCAAGUCGAACGAGUGGCGGACGGGUGAGUAAUGUCUGGGAAACUGCCUGAUGGAGGGGGAUAACUACUGGAAACGGUAGCUAAUACCGCAUACCAUCGGAUGUGCCCAGAUGGGAUUAGCUAGUAGGUGGGGUAACGGCUCACCUAGGCGACGAUCCCUAGCUGGUCUGAGAGGAUGACCAGCCAAACUGGAACGUAGACAAGGUCCAGAAGCCUAGGGGAGGCAGCAGGGGGGAAUAUUGAACAAGGGGCGCAAGCCUGAUGCAGCCAUGCCGCGUGUAUGAAGAAGGCAUUCGGGUUGUAAAGUACUUUCAGCGGGGAGGCGUUACCCGCAGAAGAAGCACCGGCUAAAUCCGUGCCAGCAGCCGCGGUAAUAC
rnacentral:rRNA from 1 species